rnacentral:rRNA from 1 species
UACGUAGGGCGCAAGCGUUAUCCGGAAUUAUUGGGCGUAAAGAGCUCGUAGGCGGUUUGUCGCGUCUGCCGUGAAAGUCCGGGGCUCAACUCCGGAUCUGCGGUGGGUACGGGCAGACUAGAGUGAUGUAGGGGAGACUGGAAUUCCUGGUGUAGCGGUGAAAUGCGCAGAUAUCAGGAGGAACACCGGUGGCGAAGGCGGCACUCUGGGCCGGUACUGACGCUGAGGAGCGAAAGCGUGGGGAGCGAACAGG